AGGAAAUGGAGGUGGCAGAAGAUGAA
rnacentral:sRNA from 1 species